rnacentral:rRNA from 1 species
GACGAACGCUGGCGGCAUGCCUAACACAUGCAAGUCGAACGGUAAGGCUUCCUUCGGGAAGUACACGAGUGGCGAACGGGUGAGUAACACGUGGGUAACCUACCCUUGACUGGGGGACAACCGAGGGAAACUUCGGCUAAUACCGCAUAACGUGCAUUGCCUCAAGGUGGUGUACCAAAGCUCCGGCGGUUAAGGAUGGGCCCGCGGCAGAUUAGCUUGUUGGUGAGGUAACGGCUUACCAAGGCGACGAUCUAUAGCUCGUCUGAGAGGACGAUCAGCCACACUGGAACUGAGACACGGUCCAGACUCCUACGGGAGGCAGCAGUGAGGAAUAUUGGGCAAUGGAGGCAACUCUGACCCAGCCAUGCCGCGUGAGUGAAGAAGGUUUUCGGAUUGUAAAGCUCUUUCGGAUGUGACGAUGAUGACGGUAGCAUCUAAAGAAGCCCCGGCUAACUUCGUGCCAGCCGCCGCAGUAA